rnacentral:rRNA from 1 species
GAUGAACGCUGGCGGCGUGCCUAAUACAUGCAAGUCGAGCGAACGGACGAGAAGCUUGGUUCUCUGAUGUAAGCGGGGGACAGGUGAGUAACACGUGGAUAACCUACCUAUAAGACUGGGAUAACUUCGGGAAACCGGAGCUAAUACCGGAUAAUAUUUUGAACCGCAUGGUUCAAAAGUGAAAGACCGUCUUGCUGUCACUUAUAGAUGGAUCCACGCUGCAUUAGCUAGUUGGUAAGGUAACGGCUUACCAAAGCAACGAUGCAUAUCCGACCUGAAAGGGUGAUCGGCCACACUGGAACUGAGACACAGUCCACACUCCUACGGGAGGCAGCAAUAUGGAAUCUUCCGCAAUGGGCGAAAGCCUGACGGAGCAACGCCGCGUGAGUGAUGAAGGUCUUCGGAUCGUAAAACUCUGUUAUUAGGGAAGAACAUAUGUGUAAGUAACUGUGCACAUCUUGACGGUACCUAAUCAGAAAGCCACGGCUAACUACGUGCCAGCAGCCGCGGUAAUACGUAGGUGGCAAGCGUUAUCCGGAAUUAUUGGGCGUAAAGCGCGCGUAGGCGGUUUUUUAAGUCUGAUGUGAAAGCCCACGGCUCAACCGUGGAGGGUCAUUGGAAACUGGAAAACUUGAGUGCAGAAGAGGAAAGUGGAAUUCCAUGUGUAGCGGUGAAAUGCGCAGAGAUAUGGAGGAACACCAGUGGCGAAGGCGACUUUCUGGUCUGUAACUGACGCUGAUGUGCGAAAGCGUGGAGAUCAAACAGGAUUAGAUACCCUGGUAGUCCACGCCGUAAACGAUGAGUGCUAAGUGCUAGGGGGGUUUCCGCCCCUUAUUGCUGCAGCUAACGCAUUAAGCACUCCGCCUGGGGGGUACGACCGCAAGGUUGAAACUCAAAGGAGUUGACGGGGACCCGCACAAGCGGUGGAGCAUGUGGUUUAAUUCGAAGCAACGCGAAGAACCUUACCAAAUCUUGACAUCCUUUGACAACUCUAGAGAUAGAGCCUUCCCCUUCGGGGGACAAAGUGACAGGUGGUGCAUGGUUGUUGUCAGCUCGUGUCGUGAGAUGUUGGGUUAAGUCCCGCAACGAGCGCAACCCUUAAGCUUAGUUGCCAUCAUUAAGUUGGGCACUCUAAGUUGACUGCCGGUGACAAACCGGAGGAAGGUGGGGAUGACGUCGAAUCAUCAUGCCCCUUAUGAUUUGGGCUACACACGUGCUACAAUGGACAAUACAAAGGGCAGCGAAACCGCGAGGUCAAGCAAAUCCCAUAAAGUUGUUCUCAGUUCGGAUUGUAGUCUGCAACUCGACUACAUGAAGCUGGAAUCGCUAGUAAUCGUAGAUCAGCAUGCUACGGUGAAUACGUUCCCGGGUCU